rnacentral:rRNA from 1 species
UACGGAGGGUGCGAGCGUUGUUCGGAAUUACUGGGCGUAAAGAGCGUGCAGGCGGCCGACUAAGUCAGGUGUGAAAGUCAAAGGCUCAACCUUUGAAAGCCGAUGGAUACUGCAGGGCUAGAGUCCGGAAGAGGCGAGUGGAAUUCCUGGUGUAGCGGUGAAAUGCGCAGAUAUCAGGAAGAACACCCGUGGCGAAGGCGGCUCUCUGGGACGGUACUGACGCUGAGGCGCGAAAUCCAGGGGAGCAAACGGG